UCCGUAGGUGAACCUGCGGAGGGAUCAUUACAAGUUGACCCCGGCCCUCGGGCCGGGAUGUUCACAACCCUUUGUUGUCCGACUCUGUUGCCUCCGGGGCGACCCUGCCUCCGGGCGGGGGCCCCGGGUGGACAUUUCAAACUCUUGCGUAACUUUGCAGUCUGAGUAAAUUUAAUUAAUAAAUUAAAGCUUUCAACAACGGAUCUCUUGGUUCUGGCAUCGAUGAAGAACGCAGCGAAAUGCGAUAAGUAAUGUGAAUUGCAGAAUUCAGUGAAUCAUCGAAUCUUUGAACGCACAUUGCGCCCCCUGGUAUUCCGGGGGGCAUGCCUGUCCGAGCGUCAUUUCACCACUCAGGCCUCGCUUGGUAUUGGGCGACGCGGUCCGCCGCGCGCCUCAAAUCGACCGGCUGGGUCUUUCGUCCCCUCAGCGUUGUGGAAACUAUUCGCUAAAGGGUGCCGCGGGAGGCCACGCCGUGAAACAACCCCAUUUCUAAGGUUGACCUCGGAUCAGGUAGGGAUACCCGCUGAACUUAAGCAUAUCAAUAAGCGGAGGAA
rnacentral:rRNA from 1 species